GUCCAGACUCCUACGGGAGGCAGCAGUGGGGGAUAUUGCACAAUGGGGGGAACCCUGACGCAGCGACGCCGCGUGGGUGAAGGAGCGUUUCGGCGCGUAAAGCCCUAUCGGCAGGGAAGAAGGAGGACGGUACCUGACUAAGAAGCCCCGGCUAACUACGUGCCAGCAGCCGCGGGAAUACGUAGGGGGCAAGCGUUAUCCGGAUUUACUGGGUGUAAAGGGAGCGUAGGCGGCAGUGCAAGUCAGAAGUGAAAGCCCGGGGCUCAACUCCGGGACUGCUUUUGAAACUGUACAGCUUGAUUGCAGGAGAGGCAAGUGGAAUUCCUAGUGUAGCGGUGAAAUGCGUAGAUAUUAGGAGGAACACCAGUGGCGAAGGCGGCUUGCUGGACUGUAAAUGACGCUGAGGCUCGAAAGCGUGGGGAGCAAACAGGAUUAGAUACCCUUGUA
rnacentral:rRNA from 1 species